UACGAAGGGGGCGAGCGUUGUUCGGAUUUACUGGGCGUAAAGGGCGCGCAGGCGGCUAUUUUUGUCAGGCGUGAAAGCCCCGGGCUUAACCUGGGAACAGCGCUUGAGACGGGAUGGCUGGAGAUCGGGAGAGGAGAGUGGAAUUCCCAGUGUAGAGGUGAAAGUCGUAGAUAUUGGGAAGAACACUGGUGGCGAAGGCGGCUCUCUGGACCGAUACUGACGCUGAGGCGCGAAAGCAAGGGGAGCAAACGGG
rnacentral:rRNA from 1 species